rnacentral:hammerhead_ribozyme from 1 species
ACCCAGCUGACGAGUUCCAAACAGGACAAAACGCGCGUUCUGGAU